rnacentral:rRNA from 1 species
UACGUAGGGGGCGAGCGUUGUCCGGAAUUAUUGGGCGUAAAGAGCUCGUAGGCGGUUCGGUAAGUCGGGUGUGAAAACUUUGGGCUCAACCCAAAGCCUGCACCCGAUACUGCUGUGACUUGAGUCCGGUAGGGGAGUGGGGAAUUCCUGGUGUAGCGGUGGAAUGCGCAGAUAUCAGGAGGAACACCGGUGGCGAAGGCGGGUCUCUGGGCCGAUACUGACGCUGAGGAGCGAAAGCAUGGGUAGCGAACAGG